rnacentral:snRNA from 13 species
AGCUUUGCGCAGUGGCAGUAUUGUAGCCAAUGAGGUUUAUCCGAGGCGUGAUUAUUGCUAAUUGAAAACUAGUUCAUCAUAUUGGUCACGUGAGCUUCUCUCAUCCAGCCUAGGAAAUGUGAGAUUUUGAGUGUGAGAGAAUGCUGUUACCAGUUUUGCCUGGGAGAAGA